rnacentral:rRNA from 1 species
UACGGAAGGCAGCAGUGGGGAAUAUUGCACAAUGGGCGCAAGCCUGAUGCAGCCAUGCCGCGUGUAUGAAGAAGGCCUUCGGGUUGUAAAGUACUUUCAGUCGUGAGGAAGGUGUUAAGGUUAAUAACCUUAGCAAUUGACGUUAGCGACAGAAGAAGCACCGGCUAACUCCGUGCCAGCAGCCGCGGUAAUACGGAGGGUGCGAGCGUUAAUCGGAAUUACUGGGCGUAAAGGGCACGCAGGCGGUUAAUUAAGUUGGAUGUGAAAUCCCCGGGCUUAACCUGGGAAUGGCAUUCAAGACUGGUUAGCUAGAGUCUUGUAGAGGGGGUAGAAUUCCAUGUGUAGCGGUGAAAUGCGUAGAGAUGUGGAGGAAUACCGGUGGCGAAGGCGGCCCCUGGGCAAAGGCUGACGCUCAUGUGCGAAAGCGUGGGGAGCGAAAC